rnacentral:rRNA from 1 species
AUUGAACGCUGGCGGCAGGCCUAACACAUGCAAGUCGAACGAGUGGCGGACGGGUGAGUAAUGUCUGGGAAACUGCCCGAUGGAGGGGGAUAACUACUGGAAACGGUAGCUAAUACCGCAUACCAUCGGAUGUGCCCAGAUGGGAUUAGCUAGUAGGUGGGGUAACGGCUCACCUAGGCGACGAUCCCUAGCUGGUCUGAGAGGAUGACCAGCCACAAUGGAACUGAGACACGGUCCAGACUCCUAAGGGAGGCAGCAGUGGGGAAUAUUGCACAAUGGGCGCAAGGCUGAUGCAGCCAUGCCGCGGGGAUGAAGAAGGCCUUCGGGUUUUAAAGUACUUUCAGCGAGGAGGCGUUACUCGGAAAAGAAGCAACGGCUAACUCCGUGCCAGCAGCCGCGGUAAAUA